ACUACUUUGGCAGAAUGAGUGCGGUGGAUUUAGAAUCUAUUUAGGUGUAUUUUAUACAUGGGUGGUA
rnacentral:tRNA from 1 species